GAUUUUGCUCUGUAGACCAGGCUGGCCUCGAACUCACAGAGACUCACCUGGCUCUGCCUCCCGAGUGCUGGGAUUAAAGGCGUGCGCCACCACCGCCUGGCAAAAAAGGGCUGUUUGUAGUCAUCUACUUCCCUACUGCUUGUGACACGUGAAUGUCCAUGUCAUCAUCCUCUGGCACAAAUAUCAUGAUCCAUGGCCUGUCAAUAACAUCUGCAUGUUGGAGACCUCCUUAGGGACGUUUCCAAGUGUUCCCAUCCUUGAACAUAAAUAGCACGAAGAUCAGAAAUCCGAUUUUCGAAUGCCAUUCAUCAUCAGUGGUCAGGUUCAUGGCCACUGCCUAGGCAAGGGCAAGACCACUUCUGCGUUAAAGAGGAAAUCAUUUUACAAUCUAAAGACCUGACUAAGACCAAGAGGUGAGAAGAAACAAGAUGCAACUGAAGACAAGAUAAGUAUACGUCCUCCCAAUUCCCUUCUCCCCCAGGAGUGGCUUACAGACACUCAAGGCUAAGCCCGCUUCAAAUUCAGAAAGUGGAAUUUUGACUCAUGCCUCUUUGCAUUUCCAAACCCCCAACCUGCUUGCCCUGAUAUUCAGUCCACUCUUCUCUCUGCAGCCCCUUCCUGAUGCAGCUGCUCACACCCUCCCUUAUUGAGCCUUCUUGUUUUUCUUGACUUCUAACUCAGAACACAGCAGGAUGGUCUUCCUUCCUCCUCUUUCUUUGUCCCUCCCUGGUAGCUAGCAAGUUCUCUAGCUUGGCUUUCCUAUUUUUCUCUCUUGUCAACUCCAAUACAUUGUUCUCAAGUUGCUUUUUGUGUCUGUGUGUAAAUUUUCUUAUCUAUGGGGCCAAGAACUUCCAAAAAGGGACCCCAAGUUUCCCAAUGACUUCCUGUGAUGGUUUGAAUGAGAAUGGCCCCCUGUAGGCUCAUGUAUUUGAAUGCUUUGUUAUCGGGAGAGUGGCACUUGAGAAGGAUUAGGAGAUGUGGCCUUGUUGGAGGAAGUAUGUUGCUGGGGUGGGGGGCGGAGAGGGGGGUUGAGGUUUCAAAAGCCAAAGCCAGGCCCAGUAUCCUUCUCUCUUCCUGCUGCCUGCUGACCCAGAUGUAGAACUCCUAGCUGCUCCACCAGCACCAUGUCAGCCUGUGUGCAGCCAUGCUCCCUGCCAUGAGAAUGAACUAAACCUCUGAAACCGUAAACAAGCCCCAGUUAACUGCUUUCUCUUACAGGAGUCGCCAUGGUCAUCGGGUCUCCUCACAGCAAUUGAACCCUGUGUUUGGUUUAGUUUAAAAGACAUAGCCGUGUUGUCUUCUGUGAGAGAUGGAUCCCACGGGGACCAACUUGCGCUGCUUACUCUCCUGGGGGUGAGGACACCCACUGGAGUCUGGAGACCUACCAGUGGCCCUACUCUUUAAGAAAACUAACUCUCCUUCCCCGUGUGUGUGUGUAUUUAUGAAACAGGAAGUUUCCAUACAUGGCUUUUUCAAACAUUCUUAGGGUGAGCUAUCCUUCUCUCCAUCCUCCCCUGCCUGCCCCGACCUCAUCUCCCUACCUAAUCUUUCCUCCCUAUUAUUCUCCCUUUCCCCUCCAUAUUACCUGUAUUUUAUCCCCUCUCCCUUAAGAUCUUUCUUCCUCCUCCUCCUCACCAGUGGUCCCUUUCUAGUUCCCUAAAUCUACAGGUACUCAAGUUAAACACACAAAUCUACAGAUUUGAUGCUGAGAUCCACAUAUGAGUGAGAACAUGUGACAUUUGUCUUUUGGGGUUUGGGUUACCUCAUGUUCAUGUUCAGUAUGUUUUCAAGUUCCAGCCAUUGAUCUGAAAAUUCAUUUUUAUUUACAGCUGAAUAAAAUUCCAUUGUGUAUA